CCCCCCCCACCCACAAACAAAACAUAAACAAACAUGGCGGCUGAGUCGCAGAUGCGGUCUAGUUCUUUUCUUCAUCUACCUUUAGAAGUUUUUUCUCAGAUCUUGAAAUACAAUGUUUUAGUUGAUUCUGAUGUUUGCAACGUCUCUCGUGUUUGUAAGAAAUUUCACAACUUUUGUUUUAGAAACGAAAUAUGGAAAGUCAAGUUUCGUCAAAGGUGGCCCUUGUCAUUUAGAAAAUGGCCUAACUCACAGUGGUUUGACCUGUACAAAACUCGCCACUUGGUAGCUUCGCAAGUUCAUCAGCUUGUCUACAGUUUAGCAGAAGAUUAUUACCACAGGAACGACAUUUCAAAUGAAGGAUUUUAUGAAUUUUACAAAUUGUUUGAUCUGCAUCCUCAAGCAUCUAUGUUUGUUCUAGACGAAUUGCAUCUGAUCCUUUUUGCUGGUGACAGCAAUGCACAUCUUACUGAAAGGUACUAUGCAGAAAAAGCAUUUUAUAAUCUGCAACAUGCCGCUCUGAGGAGUGAAAUCAGACAGUUCUUGAAUCUUCCACCAGAAAGUCAGAAAAUAGAAAUAGGUGCCAUGAUGGUAUCACGGUGGUUUCAGCCAGGGCUUGCUGUCUCACAUGAUAUUGUCUGUAAACAGCUGGAUGAUAUUGCAGACAGAGUGAGAAAACAACUGAGACAGAUGCUUCCGGAUGUGCAUCCAGCUAGCGAAAAAAGUUAUUUGGAAGCAGGUUUAACAGAAAGCCUGUGGACUCCCACUCAGUGUCGACAAGUGCUAGAAGCAAUUAAUAUCGUUCUUUAUCAGCAUAUGGGAUUUGCACCCAGUGAAACAACAUCCUAUAUGGCAUGCAAUAGUUACCUGGAUAAAGUGCUAGAGAAAAAGAUGGGUUUUCCAAUCACGCUGUGCAUCUUGUACAGUGCUGUGGCCAGGAGGCUUGGUGUUGUUUGUGAACUCGUCAACUUCCCUGCUUACUUCUUGCUACGAUGGAAGGAGAACCCUAUGGCACCCACUGAGGGACAGUAUACAUUUAUUGAUGCAUAUGGGCAUGGGCAGAUGUUGUCUCAUAAAGAGUGCCUAGAAUUUCUGGGGCAGUUUGGCACAGAUGCCGUAGUAGCAACUGCACUCUAUGCAGCAACCACAACAGCAAAGGUAUUGGAGAUAAUGGCCCGAAACCUGGUCAGAAUUGCUCGAUGCCUGAAUCAUCAUGGCAGAGAUCGAACUCAGAUGUUGCGCUUUGCAAUUGGUUUGCAUCUGGCCAUUUCUCCUGAUGACGCUGAGAUGCAGCUAAUGCAAGUUCGCCUCUUUUUGCAUCUCAACAUCAAUUUGAAGGAUGCAAUAGAAAAUCUUCGGCAGGUUGCAGCAGUGGAUGACGUAGUGAGCUUUUUGACCAAAGAAAUUUACACGCUUAUGAAAGAGAAUGAAACGAGGGACAACGAAAGGCAUAUGGUACAGGAAAAGUUGAGGAAAGAUAAUGCGGAGGUGCAUUUUUCUGUUGGUAUGGUGAUGAAACACAAAAAGUACCACUAUACAUGUGUUAUUUAUGGCUGGGACAAAGAGGGUCGCAUUAGCGAAGAAUGGAUUACACAGGAGGGAGUAGGGAAUCUCCAAGGUAGACCGUUCCAACCUUUCUACAAUGUUCUUGCUGAGGACGGAAGUAAUCGAUAUGCUGCGCAAGAAAACUUGGUGUACGCUAAAGAUGUCAAAGCGAUCACACAUCCAGAAGUGGGAAAAUACUUUGAAAAAUUCACAGGGAAAUUCUAUGUUCCAAACAAAAUGAAACAAGAGGAGUAUCCAGAUGAUGCAGAGAUGACAGGCAGACUUGUGACCCAGUAUUUUUUGAGCACGAAGUAAUAUUACAGACAUCAAGAAGUUUAAAAUCCUUCCAGGAAGGAACUUUAGUGAGAAGUACUCGCCUUCUGUGUUCAAGGUUUCUUGGGCCAGCAACCGGACUCCUCCGUUACAACAACCAGUGAACUGGUUCAUCAGCCUAAAAAAAAAGGUGAUGAAGAAUGUGCAUCCCACAGUCUGGUUAUGGUGAACCACUUUAAUUCGGCUGUUUAAUAAUUACUACUAUGAUCAAAACGUUUAUUGAAGUGAGAGGAAAGUUCAGACGGCAGGUACCUUAAGCCUUCAUUUUUAUUCGGACACCAAGGCAUGGGAUUUUGGCUUUCCUUUUUUUGACACAGGGUUGGCUGAUUUAUGACGAAGAUUUUUUUGCCCCGGUCUCGACACGUAGUACGAUUAAAAUACGGAUAAAAAACGCAGACAGAAGCUUCCCGGGAGAAUCUCCUGGAUUCCAUUCCGCCCCUUCGUACAAUUGUUCACGCACACCUCUCGUGCCGUGUCGCCCAGUCAUUCUUGUCCUGUGGAGGGACGGUGAGGAGACAUGUCAGGCGGAAGAACCACAUUUGUCAGCUGUACUGACAUGACACACAGGCAGGAGACCGCCUGACUGCGAACAGCACUUGGGACAAAAAACAAACCCGAGUUACAGCGAUACCCGCGCCCUGCUACAUAACGGACUGGCGGCUGGCCAUGACGGACAAGGACGCCGAAACAAAGCUCGUAUGGUACCUCACUGCAGUUCACGGUCUGCUGCUUCUCACCCACUCAAGUGCGACAAGCGGCGAAAUCGAGUUUUACAAGCCCCCGAGUGCCUGUCUGACCGGUGCGUCCUGUCACAACUGCAUCGACACCCUGGAGUUCCGUUCACAUCGCGUGUGUUGCUACAACUGCCGCCUGGAUAACGUCGUCAUGAACGACCACAUGUGUCACUGUAUCGACACCAGGCUCCCUGGUUCGCCUCCAGGCCUGGGAGGCAACUGCAGCAGCGGCCAGGUGUGCGACAACUGCGCCGUGAAGAUCUCCUCUGACAUCUCUGAGGGGCCCAGCGACACGCCAGGGACGACCAGUUACUGCUGCCGGGACUGUGGCAUCGCAACCCCGUACAUAGUGAAGGACACAGAAGAGUGUCACUGCGCUGCAGACUCUCAAGGAAGACAGCACGAACUCGUGCCCCGGUAUGACCCUCCGACCAUCAGCCCUGAUUCCGGGUCACAGAUCAACGCUGCCGCUCUCAUGACGCAGUUCAGUUCAUCGUGCCUGCAGACGACACUUGCUUUCUGUAUCCUCCAUAUAUGGUGUUCAUUGUAAUUUGUAUCCGUAUUACGAGGUGUAUGUGUUGACCGUAGACGGGUAUUGUCUGGCUAUGUACAGGUGGGGGAACUGCAUCACGUUGUCCGUUGACAACAAAUUAGCAUGUUGAUCAACUUCCCCACCUUCCUCGGCAUUGUUCUUGAUCCUACGCUGUUUGUCUCGCGUAUUCUUUGUAGCUACAAAGUGGACUCGGUAUUAAAACAUUACCUUAUACCCUGUUUGUCCAGCAGUGUCUUUUGUCUUUUAAGUGUCCCCAGAGACAAUCUUUUGCAGACGACAUAAUCUAUUUUUGGGGGGAGGAGAAAGAAAAAAAAAAGUGUAGGAGGAAGGGGGAAUCCAAAAUCAGUAUCUUUGUCAAAUUAGUUUUUCUCUUUUCAAAGGCAAACAGGUGUUACUAUUUUGCAUAAAUUGUAAAUAAAAUCCUUUGAAUAAAAAUUGAGCAUGUUAAUUACUAAACAUUGCUUACUAUUUAAAAAAAAUCAUUCCCUUCACAAUUUUAUUUUUUUUUAAAGAUCAAGACUUCAUAUAGAGAUGGUGGAUAGUGCAAGACAGAAAAAAAAAAAUCAAAAACCAAAAUAGUCGCACAACAACAGCAAAAAUAGGAGGCUUAAUAUUCAGACAAUUUUUAUUGUACAUGAAUAUCAAAAUUAGACAGGCCACAAAUGAUCUCAGAACUGGACAAGCCACAAAAAGAUCUUAACCAUUCAGUCUAUUUGUUCAAAAAAAUGAAACCUUAUUUUAAAAGGUAGGUGGGAAAGAGGUGUAUCAAAAUGUCAGUUUACCACAAAGGAAAAAUAUCAAACAAAGUAAACUAUCUCUAGUAUUGAAAACACCUUUGUAAUGUUUGUAGCAGCUGAAUUUAUAAGGAUCACCUAUGUGAUCUUCCAUGCACCUGCAUUUUCUUCUCAUAAAUCAUUAGAAAUCCAAUAACUAUAAGAACUGAAAUGCACGCAAGAGUUGUUUUCUGGCCAUCCAUCAUGAUUGCCCCUUACCACUCAUAAAGAUAGGCAGCUGUAUUGGUUAUUUAAAUCUCUAUUUCCCUUCCCUAGGGUGCUAUUCAUGGCAACGUAAAGCUAGGACAAAAUGCACUAUUAUGCAAACAUUUGAAAUAAGCUGAUUUUGAUGCUGACUAUUGAAAUAAAUACCCCUCUUUAUGACUAACUAGUCAGUAGACAGGUGCUAUAAAAAUAAAUAAACCUCUUCAUGGCUGAAUAAAAAAAAUAAAUCAGGAAACUAACAUGACUACAUCUGAUUCUCUCCUAUCCUCCAAAAAAAAAAAAAA